rfam:Capsicum annuum cultivar Zunla-1 chromosome 7, whole genome shotgun sequence
UAUUGGUGAUAUGGACAAUCUCGAUGAAGAGCCUUGAAGCGUUCCCAUGCAUGAUAAAGGUUUUCAUCAGUCUUUUAUUUGAAGCUUACUACCUCACUGUAAAGU